AUGAAAACUGAUAAACCGAAGGUAGAUGAAUUUGGUAGAUUGAUUAGGGAAGAUGUUAGUGACAGCGACACAAGUGAUUCACCACGUCAUGUGCGGAGGCAUGCGAGAAGAACCAGAAAAAGGAGUCGAAGUCAAAGCAGAAGUCGGUCACCUCAUGAUAGGAGGAGGAGGAGGAGAAGUCCAUGGAGGAGAAACGAGAGGCGUGGGCGCUCUCGCAGUUUGUCUCCAAGGAGAAGAAGUAGGAGUCGGUCACCUGUUUUAAGGCGUGAUACUGAAUUCAGUGGAGAUAAACUGAGACGGGAGAAGAGUCAGCUUCCAGAGUGCUUUGACUUUCUCCGAGGCAAGUGUUACCGUGGAUCAAAUUGUCGCUAUUCACACCAUGAAUCAGACAAGGGUGAGAGAUCAAAGUACAGCAGGGGUAAACAUCAUAAUUGGGAUGCUCCACCUACUCUUCGGAGUCCCGAUUUUCAUGAGGAUGGCAAGGUUUUGGGUGAAAAAGAAAUGAAUGAUAAGGGUAGGAGACUUUCUCAAGAUAUGCCUGAUUUAUGGGAAGCAAAAGAUUCAAAAAGACUGCCAAUUGAUUCUGCUAGUCAGUCUCCUGAUAAAAUGGAGAACCUUUCAGGUUAUCCUGCUCAUGACACACCCUCGGAUAAACAUUAUUAUCUGAUUCCACAAUCUGCAGCAAAGUACUCUGAUAAGAUUCCUCAAAUUGUUGAUCAACAAGGUAAAAGGACAGAUGAUAGUUUGCCUUCUGAUUCUUCACUUGCGCAAUUGUUAGUUGGCACACCAACUCAUCAUCCAGCCGAUGGACAGGACCCUACUAGUCAACUGUGUUCUGUUGAAAGUCAUUUGACGAAACCCUAUUACAGUCAAGAAGUCCCAUCCUGGUCCUUUAAUCCCUCAAUUGCCAAUCUUCCUUCUCAAUUAUCCAUUCCUUUGCCUUCAGCAUCUCAGCCUGUGAGUGCUUCAUUUGCUCCGCCUGCAUUGCAAAAUUACAACUCAAAUCCACCUACUUCACAGAAUCAUUUGAAUUCUGAAAAUUACUCCACAUAUGAAGCACCAGUAACUUACCAACAUUCUCAUUUUUCUGGUUCAUCAACAUCUGUAUUGAGCUUGCCUCUUCCACCACCGCCACCACCACCACCACCAGCAUCCUUAGAACAUAGCACUCCUUCACAACAUAUGCAGCAGUCUUUACUGCCUCCUUGGAAUGGCCUGUACUCUUAUGCAUCUAUCAGAAACCAGCAAACUGAAAUGCCUAAUGGAUCUCAGAUUGGUGAGUAUCAGGCAUACCCCUUUGCCCGAGAGCCUGAUCAAAUGCUACAUAGAACUGAUGCUUCUGGAUCAAGUAGUUUGCAUGUAAGCAAUCUAACAAGUCGAGAGGGUGGUCCACGCAUGAUGGGUGAAGGUCAUUUACCUGGAGAUCUAACACAGGGCAUUAAUUAUUCAAAAUCAUUUACUCAGGGUCAAACUAAUCCCUUAUUGAGGCAGUCUCCAUUUAAGGGAAUCCAAAGUUCUCUUGGUGCAGGUCUUUCUUCUGACAGUAAUUCUUCUCAUGGCCAUCCUUAUUUCCAGCAGGCUUCUUAUGGCACGCAAUAUUCUGCUGGUGGUGAUGUCCCCUCAAAACUUUCUGAGCCUGGGAUGAUGAGUUCCUCUUCUUCUAGAAUCACUGAAGAUUUUCUUGAGAGGAAUCGCUCUUAUGUGCAUGGCUUUAUUGGGUCGAAAUUUGGGUCAAAAAUUUCAAAUCAUUUCAAUCCUUAUGCAUCAACUUUUGAUCUGCCACUGAGCUCGAAACUCAGUUCAAACACUUUGGUACGGGAAAAUGAUGCCGAUACUACAUAUGGCACCCCAGUUGGUUUAAGCUCAGCCCCUGUUGAUCCACAUAGAAUUCGAAGUGUUGACUCAAAAAAUAUGAUUUCUUCGAGUUCUGUAUUUCCACCCGAGUCUGUUUCAAGACCAGCCGGCAAUCAGUAUGAUCCACUAUUUGAUAGCAUUGAACAAAAUUCAAAUUCAACUAGUAAAGCUGAUCAUCUAAAAAAUGAAAUUACUGGUGAUUCUGAUGAUGUUCUGAGGUUUCAUGGAUCCAGAAGUUUGUUAAAUACGGAAGCUAUCAAGCAGGAAGGGGAAACAGCUGUAUCAGUCGAUGAUUCUUUAGAAAAAGAAGAAUGUGGGGAGACAGCUGAUGUGGCCGUGGGGCCUGUCCUGAACAGCAGCCCUAGUAAUCCUAAUGAUGCACCUGACAUGGAUGUAGGAGAAUUUGAGAUUGAUCAGGUUAAGACUUCUGGGAAAAACAAGAAAAGCAAGGAGAAGUCUGCAAAACUUUUUAAGAUUUCCAUUGCUGCUUUUGUGAAGGAUGUUCUAAAGCCAUCAUGGCGGCAGGGUAAUAUGAGCAAGGAGGCGUUUAAGACCAUUGUCAAGAAAACUGUUGAUAAAGUAUCUGGAGCUAUGAAGAGUCACCAAGUACCUAAGUCCCAGGCAAAAAUAAAUCACUACAUUGAUUCUUCAAGAGGAAAAUUAACAAAGCUUGUCAUGGGAUAUGUUGACAAAUAUGUUAAGGUGUAAGAUCUGACUGGGGUCUGCAUCAAAGAUUUGACUCACCUGCCUGGACUUUUAAAUCAUGCCUCGGAUUUGCAGGAUUAAGAGGAGUAGGCCAUUUACUUGCAUUGUUCGAAAAGGAAUUCUGAUGGCUUUCAGAAUAUUGCAAAUGUCAGAAUGCUGUUAUGAAUGUAAAUUUAGCUAAAGUUAUGGGGGAGUUGCAAAAUUUGCUUUGCUGCUUUAACUCGAGGCUCAAGGUGCACAGGGGCUAGCGCCAAACCACUACUUUGGGAUUAAGAGGUUAGGUGUUCUGACACUGGAAAACUGUAUCCAGAGAUUAUGCUGAUAUAGACAUGUUGAAGAGUGUAUUGAGGUACAAUUACUAAAUUAAAUUUCUCAGGCUUGAAGUUAGAAUAUAUCCAAUUUUAGAGUAUAAAUUUCGUUUGUAUUAUUUCCUCGGACUUGUUUGCCUUUGCUCAUUUUUAAGCCUUAGUGGCUUUUACGCAGAAGCAUUUUGUAUUGCUGGGUUCAUGUUGUUUUUUAGCUUGGGUUUCUUACUUCUGUUUACCACACAUCAUUAAUCAAUACCGAAUGAGACAUUUACCAA